rnacentral:rRNA from 1 species
UGGGGAAUAUCGCACAAUGGGCGCAAGCCUGAUGCAGCAACGCCGCGUGAACGAUGAAGGUCUUCGGAUCGUAAAGUUCUGUUGCAGGGGAAGAUAAUGACGGUACCCUGUGAGGAAGCCCCGGCUAACUACGUGCCAGCAGCCGCGGUAAUACGUAGGGUGCGAGCGUUGUCCGGAAUUACUGGGCGUAAAGAGCUCGUAGGCGGUUUGUCACGUCGUCUGUGAAAUCCUAGGGCUUAACCCUGGACGUGCAGGCGAUACGGGCUGACUUGAGUACUACAGGGGAGACUGGAAUUUCUGGUGUAGCGGUGGAAUGCACAGAUAUCAGGAAGAACACCGAUGGCGAAGGCAGGUCUCUGGGUAGUAACUGACGCUGAGGAGCGAAAGCAUGGGUAGCGAACAGG